rnacentral:misc_RNA from 1 species
UGUUUUUAGGGAUAUGAAUUAAGGAAAUACGAGGUAAGCUUUUGAUUGUGCCAGAUACAACAAAGCCCCAGCGUUAGCUGAGGCUCUAUUACUUAAAUAUGGUGCCCGAGGACGGACUUGAACCGUCACUCCUUUCGGAAGAGGAUUUUGAAUUCCUUGAGACGCCUUUGCGGUGAUUAUAAACACUAGGAUCUUGUUGGAUAUUCUUGUCCAUAACUUAGGAUUGUAUUGGAUCUAGUUAGCUACUGAUGCGCACAGGAAUAACCCAUCUAAUUAGAUG